rnacentral:lncRNA from 12 species
GCUUUACAAGUACUGUUUGAUUGACUGUUUAUUUGUUCAGCAUACUGAACAAAGCAAUCUCAGUCUUUGUGCCAGAGUAACUGUAAAAGAAAGUUGUGCUUCACACCUGAAAUCAUUUAAUGUAAUUUUGAUCAGAUGGCAAGGAAUAAAACAGCUCACAGAGGAAGAAAGCAGCAGCCAGUCAGUGCUCAGGUGUUCCCAAAAAUCAGACUGACACAGAAAUGGAAUUCAUUAAAACCAAACUUUUUGUUAGUUGCAAGGACCCGGAGGAAUAAGCAUCAAUCUCUGUAAAGAAGUGCCAUCUGCAGCCUAUCUUAGACACACUGCUUCCUGAUAAUUAAGGUUAGUAAAUAAGUCUUUUAUUUUCCACUGAAAUACAGAGCAGGGGAGGUCAGAACUAAUUGCAAUUUUG